rnacentral:ncRNA from 2 species
GACUUAUCAAGAGUGGUGGAGGGACUGGCCCGAUGAAACCCGGCAACCAAUAUAUAUUAUUGUGAUAUAUAUAAGGUGCUAAAUCCUGCAGCGUAAGCUGAGAGAUGAGGG